rnacentral:rRNA from 1 species
GUCCACGCCCUAAACGAUGAAUACUCGCUGUUAGCGAUACACAGUUAGCGGCUAAGCGAAAGCGUUAAGUAUUCCACCUGGGGAGUACGGUCGCAAGAUUGAAACUCAAAGGAAUUGACGGGGGCCCGCACAAGCGGAGGAGCAUGUGGUUUAAUUCGAUGAUACGCGAGGAACCUUACCCGGGCUUGAAAGUUAGUGAAUCAUUUAGAGAUAGAUGAGUGAGCAAUCACACGAAACUAGGUGCUGCAUGGCUGUCGU